rnacentral:rRNA from 1 species
GCAUAGCCAUAAAUAUAGGUAUUAUUGCAUACCAAAAUAUUCGCCAGGGGACUACAAGCGCAAGCUUAAAACCCAAAGGACUUGGCGGUGCUUUACAACCACCUAGAGGAGCCUGUUCUAGAACCGAUAACCCCCGUUAAACCUCACCUUGUCUUGUCUUUUUCCGCCUAUAUACCGCCGUCGUCAGCUUACCCUGUAAAGGACCUAAAGUAAGCAAAAUCAGUAUUACUCAAAACGUCAGGUCGAGGUGUAGCUUAUGAAAAGGGAAGAAAUGGGCUACAUUCAUCAAAAGAUGAACACGAAUGACUAUUUGAAAAAAUAGUCUGAAGGAGGAUUUAGUAGUAAGAAAAAAAUAGAGUGUUUUUCUGAACCUGGCGCUGAAGCACG